rnacentral:rRNA from 1 species
UACGGGGGGGGCAAGCGUUGUUCGGAAUUACUGGGCGUAAAGGGCUCGUAGGUGGCCAACUAAGUCAGACGUGAAAUCCCUCGGCUUAACCGGGGAACUGCGUCUGAUACUGGAUGGCUUGAGUUCGGGAGAGGGAUGCGGAAUUCCAGGUGUAGCGGUGAAAUGCGUAGAUAUCGGGAGGAACACCAGUGGCGAAGGCGACUUCCUGGCCUGUUCUUGACGCUGAGGCGCGAAAGCUAGGGGAGCAAACGGGG